GAUCAUUACUGAGUUCGGGACUAUGUCCCUACUCCAACCCUAUGUUUACAAGUUUUGUUGCUUCGGUGGACCGGNUAUUCUAGAAAGCCGCCGGCCUUUGGCUGGAGAGUGUCCACCAGAAGACCUUUUUAUUCUGUUGAAUUUGAAGUCUGAAGAAAAUAAAAAAGUUUUUAAAACUUUCAACAACGGAUCUCUUGGUUCCGGCAUCGAUGAAGAACGCAGCGAAAUGCGAUAAAUAGUGUGAAUUGCAGAAUUCCGUGAAUCAUCGAAUCUUUGAACGCACAUUGCGCCCUUUGGUAUUCCGAAGGGCAUGCCUGUUCGAGCGUCAUUAAAAACAUCAAGCUUAGCUUGGCUUUGAGACUGGCGUGAUAUACGCCUAUUUCAAACUUAUCGGCGGUAAUGACAGCCUUCAAACGUAGCAAAAAACUCGUUUGCAGUGGUUGAACUUUACUUGCCAUAAAAACUCAAGUUUUUGACCUCGGAUCAGGUAGGAUUACCCGCUGAACUUAAGCAUAUCAAUAAGCGGAGGAAAAGAAACCAACAGGGAUUGCCUUAGUAACGGCGAGUGAAGCGGCAAAAGCUCAAAUUUGAAAAUCUGGCUCACGCCCGAGUUGUAAUUUGUAGAGGAUGCUNCGGGCGUGGUCCGGUCUANGUUCCUUGGAACAGGGCGUCAUAGGGGGUGAGAAUCCCGUAUGCGACCGGGUGCCGCUGUCCAUGUGAAGCUCCUUCGACGAGUCGAGUUGUUUGGGAAUGCAGCUCAAAAUGGGUGGUAAAUUUCAUCUAAAGCUAAAUACUGGCCAGAGACCGAUAGCGCACAAGUAGAGUGAUCGAAAGAUGAAAAGCACUUUGGAAAGAGAGUUAAACAGUACGUGAAAUUGUUGAAAGGGAAGCGCCUGCAACCAGACUUGCGCGCAGCCGAUCAUCCGGUGUUCUCACCGGUGCACUCGGUUGCGCUCAGGCCAGCAUCGGUUCUGGUGGUUGGAUAAAGGCCCUGGGAAUGUGGCUCCUCCGGGAGUGUUAUAGCCCAGGGUGCAAUGCAGCCUACCCGGGACCGAGGACCGCGCU
rnacentral:rRNA from 1 species